UUCGUAGGCGGCCAAACAGGUCAGGUGUGAAAUCCCACAGCUCAACUGUGGAACUGCGCUUGAAACCGUUUGGCUCGAGGGAGAUAGAGGUGAGCGGAACAGAUGGUGGAGCGGUGAAAUGCGUUGAUAUCAUCUGGAACACCGGUGGCGAAAGCGGCUCACUGGAUCUCUUCUGACGCUGAGGAACGAAAGCUAGGGUAGCGAACG
rnacentral:rRNA from 1 species